GAUGAACGCUAGCUACAGGCUUAACACAUGCAAGUCGAGGGGAAACGAUGAGAGAGCUUGCUCUCUUAGGCGUCGACCGGGGCACGGGUGAGUAACGCGUAUCCAACCUACCCAUUACAGGGGGAUAACCUUGCGAAAGUAAGACUAAUAACCCAUGGCUUUUUAUGGUUGCAUCAUUAUAGGAUUCAACAUUUAUUGGUAAUGGCGGGGGAUGCGUCUGAUUAGCUUGUUGCCGGGGUAACGGCGCACGAAGGCAAGGAUCAGUAGGGGUUCUUGGAGGAAGGGCCCUCACAUUGGAACUGACACACGGGCCAAACUGCUACGGGAGGCAGUAGUGAGGAAUAUUGGUCAAUGGGCGAGUGCUCGAUCCAGCCAAGUAUCGUGCAGGAUGACCGCCCUAUGGGUUGUAAACUUCUUUUAUAGGGGAACAAAGUGAUCUACGUGUAGUUUAUUGCAUGUACCCUAUGAAUAAGGACCGGCUAAUUCCGUG
rnacentral:rRNA from 1 species